rnacentral:rRNA from 1 species
UACGUAGGGUGCAAGCGUUGUCCGGAAUUAUUGGGCGUAAAGAGCUCGUAGGCGGUUUGUCGCGUCUGCUGUGAAAACUCGAGGCUCAACCUCGAGACGUCGGUUGAAACCGUAUGGCUAGAGUCCGGAAGAGGAGAGUGGAAUUCCUGGUGUAGCGGUGAAAUGCGCAGAUAUCAGGAGGAACACCAAUGGCGAAGGCAGCUCGCUGGGACGUGACUGACGCUGAGACGCGAAAGCGUGGGGAGCAAACAGG